rnacentral:lncRNA from 1 species
AAAGAGCAGAAGGCUUGGAACAGCUGGGGUUCGGCUGACAUACGAAAGCCCUUGACUGCUUGUCUUUCCACCUCUUGAGUAAACACUGACUUGAUAGAAGAAUGUGGAUGAUCAUUGCUGCACCAGUCAAAUUGGGAGGACAUGAAAAGCACGGUUCAUUAUCACCGGUUUUUACAAUAAUUUCUGCUGAGAAAGAAGAGAUCUGUAUCUCUGAUGAAAAGGCCUCAGAACAAUGAAGGACACAGAUAACACACGGAGUUCCUGUGUGGGUCUUUGGGACAUUUUUCAGACGAAACAAGUGUCUUCUGAACUCAGCAUGAAAGGAUUCCAGAUAAUUUUAAAUCAAUUUAACCUUGGACUUCAAAACUAAGCUCCCUGGAAGACUGCCUGCUUGUGUCAAAGGUGGAAGUGGUUCAAUAAAACUCUUCAUGGACAAAGUGACAAUUCGACUGAGGCCUGGCUAACCAGCCUUCAAACAGUCACAAUUUCCCACUUUUAUGAUGUUGGCUGAGCCUCUCCCAGUCUGAUCUCUACGAUAAAAAGCAUCUAGUACAAUUACCUGGGCACUCAGCCUAGUGUUUUGUUUUUAUUCCUGUUGAUGGCUGUAAGGAUUAGUAGGGGUUCCAUUUUAGCCCUGAAAAUAAUGAAACAGUGCCUAAAAGUUCCUCCAGGAAGGAAAAUAUGCUUGCAUUCAUAGAUUUCCUAUAAUGCACUAGAGUAAUUCUGCUGUUAAUUAGGUGAUAAAAAAUCAAUGAAAAAAGAGCUAGUCACAUGAUUUUUAUUAUAUUCAGUUAAGAGAAAUAGUUAGAUUUGCUUAUUUUUAUUUUGUUGAUUUUAUUCUCGAAGUUUUCCACCAGGUGAGGGUAAAACACGAAGCAGAAGUGGGCAUCUUGGAAGAUGAAUCAAGCUGACACUCUGGUCUCAGAUUUCCAUGCUCCAGAACUGUGAGAAAUAAACUUCUGUUAUUUAUAAGACUUCCAAAAAAUAAAAAAGACUUCCAGUCUAUGGUCAUUUAUUACAUUUGCUUUAUGAUUGAGAUGAUAAUUGAUUUUACUGGUUAGCACUAACAAAAUAAUAAUUCUAAACUAGGGAUAUA